rnacentral:lncRNA from 1 species
UGCAUCAUAACUUUAAUUUUUUGCUGAUAUAUUUACUGCUUCCACUGUACACAUUGAAUUUUCAACAUAAGUAGUGCACAUAGGUGUUCUUAACUUGCAAAAAAAUUUUAAAACCCAAUUCACAAACCCCCCCCCUUCUUGGAUUGUAUCUCUGGGCAACAUUCUAGUAUACAAGGAUAAGAAAGCUAGUGUUGUAUACCACAGUGAUGGAGGCGUGUAAGAAAAUUAUUACUGAUAAAUGCACCCUCUCCAUCAGAUUGAAAAAAUUUAAUUUUAUGAUCAAACUAAUUUUCAACCAAUU